rnacentral:lncRNA from 1 species
UUUGGAGAGAAGAGGGGAGUGAGGCGGUGUGUGCUUGGGGCUGGUGUUUGUCAGUGUGAGCGUGUAAGAGCACACCUGCAUUCAAGGGGGUUUGUAGUGUCCGUGCGACAUCUGAGGGAGAAUCGACGGGAUUUCUCUGGCUGUCGUUUGCGCUGCAUUUAUCCGAAUACAUCCAGCUCGCAGGCAUCCUGCAAGAAACGGCUCCCGGCUCGCGUGUACGCCGACACCUCGGCCCAACGCAGGACUCGAGGUGGUUUCUAGUGCCCGGGUGGCUGCAAGUCUGCCCUCCGAGGGAGGCUGGACAAGCGGCGCCCCCAGGUCGAGCGGCCUCUCGCUGCCUGGCAGUGCCUGGCAGCCCCCACCUCUGCCAGUGCUUCGGAAACCCGCCUGGCCAGGUUCGCCCGCGGUGAAAAAUGAAAGCAAAUUCCCCAACAGAGGUAGCCGGAACUUUCCUCGACGAAGGCUCCCUCCUGCGCCUGUGUCUGGAGAACCCCCAGAGCGCUGCAAGUUAGCAAGAGAGAUUCGAUGGCGGCUCUGGAAGGCGCACGAAGGGUGGGGCGGGGGAGCAAAGAGGCCACUGGGUGACCCAGCCUGGUCCGGGGUGAAACGCUAGAGAAGGCGCCUCGCCUUCCUUAUUUCAAUGCAACUCCUCGGCCCCAGACGGUAAAAAUAGUUUCCAAGCUGCCGCGGACGCCCAGGAUGUGUUUGCAGAGAUCAAACUGGGGAGGAGGCAGCUUUGUAAAAGUUGCAGAAAGAUUAGCCGAGAAGCGUCCGCCCGGCGGGGCUCAAGAAAGCUUGGGGACAGCUCCAUGUUCCUUGGGGCGGAAUGGCCCAAGAAUUGGCCUGGGUAACCCCCUGCCCAGUUCUCUGUCCUCACUUCGAGCCAGUGCUUAAAUAACUUCCCGCCGCCUGCCCUGCAAACUUCCCGGCGCGGCGCCGUUGAGGCCAGGACACAGCAAAGGCUAGCAAAACCCCGCCGCGGCGCGCUCGGCCCCGGCCCUGAGAGGCUGCGCGGGUGGGAGGACCAGUGUGGUUUCUGCUCCCACUCGGCUGCCCAGACCCUCAAGACCGAUCCCCCAACUCCUGGGAGCGGGUGCUUCCCUCUGGGAGCCGAGAUCUUGCGGGGCCAGCGAGGGCGCAAAGUGCGCGCGCUGGCCCGCGCGGGGGCGGCCGCGCGUCUCUCCGCGGGGCCUGUCGCCAGGCCGGCCGCGGCGCGUGAGUGAUGAGGGCAGAGAAGGGCGCCCAUAAAUCGCGGGUGUCAGGGCGAAAAACUCUCUUUAUUGUCUGCGUGAUGGAUGGGCCCGGGGACGAGACACCAAAUACUUCGUAUCGCCUUUAAAUGGGAACACAUUUUCCGCGGCCAUAAUUCAUGUUUUUUAAAUAGAAAGUUUGAAAUGUUGCCUAUAUUUCACCAGCCCUGACAUAUUUAUGAAUCGCUCCCUGCAUGCAAAUAUCAUUACUUAAAGCGCCGGGGAGAGCGCGGGGGAGGGGAGGAGGCGCGGUUCCCGGGGCGUGGGGGUGGUGAACCGGGGAAAUAUCGGUGGAGGGGGGCCAUCUCCCUAAAGGGCAGAGGGUGAGGUGCGGUGAAUAGCCGUAUCCGGAAACCGAGCGUGCCCCGGGCUUCUUUCCCGCCGCCAGACCCCGCACAGCCGCCCUGGGACGUUUUUCGAGGCUUGGGACCUAAGACGGGUCCCCGGACCCUGCUGGGAAACCAGGGGGCGUUUUUCGUCCCUCUCUGAGGCCAUUAUCCAAGCUGAAACCACCUUUUAUAAGAAAAAAGUUUAAAGAAAAAAAAUUUAACAAACACAAAUAAUAAUAAUAACCCAACAUGUUUCGCGUUCUUUGCCA